GUGCCCGUAUUCCAAUGGAUAAGAUUUUCCCCUCCGAAGGGAACGAUGCGAGUCCGAUUCUCGCCGGGCACA
rnacentral:tRNA from 1 species